UACGAAGGGGACUAGCGUUGUUCGGAAUCACUGGGCGUAAAGCGCACGUAGGCGGAUGUGUCAGUCAGGGGUGAAAUCCCGGGGCUCAACCUCGGAACUGCCUUUGAUACAGCACGUCUCGAGUCCGGAAGAGGUGGGUGGAAUUCCUAGUGUAGAGGUGAAAUUCGUAGAUAUUCGGAGGAAAACCAGGGGCGAAGGCGGCUCCCUGGGCCGGUACUGACGCUGAGGUGCGAAAGCGUGGGGAGCAAACAGG
rnacentral:rRNA from 1 species